rnacentral:rRNA from 1 species
UGAAUACGAGAUGCUACGGCGUCGAAGCAGUCUAUGUCAUACUUCCAAGAAAAGCUCGCACUGUCAUAAACAAAUAAUGCCUGUACCAUAACCGACACAGGUGGGUAGGUAGAGUAUACUAAGGGGCGCGAGAUAACUCUCUCUAAGGAACUCGGCAAAAUGACUCCGUAACUUCGGGAGAAGGAGUGCCUUAUUUAUAAGGUUGCAAUAACAAGAUCCAAGCAACUGUUUAUCAAAAACACAGGUCUCCGCUAAGUCGUAAGACGAUGUAUGGGGGCUGACGCCUGCCCAGUGCCAGAAGGUUAAAGAAGUUGGUUAGCAUUCGCGAAGCUGAUAACUGAAGCCCUGGUGAACGGCGGCCGUAACUAUAACGGUCCUAAGGUAGCGAAAUUCCUUGUCGGGUAAGUUCCGACCCGCACGAAAGGCGUAAUGAUUUGGAUACUGUCUCGGAGAGGGGCUCGGUGAAAUAGACUUGUCUGUGAAGAUGCGGACUACCUGCACCAGGACAGAAAGACCCUAUGAAGCUUUACUGUAACUUGAGAUUGAAAUUGGACUUUACUUGCGCAGUAUAGGUGGGAGGCGUUGAUAAUAUUCUUGCGGGAUUAUUUGAGCCAUCAGUGAGAUACCACUCUUGUAAUGUUAGAUUUCUAACUUUGUAUCAUUAUCUGGUCAAAGGACAGUUUCAGGCGGGCAGUUUGACUGGGGCGGUCGCCUCCUAAACGGUAACGGAGGCGCACAAAGGUUUCCUCUGAACGGGUAGAAAUCGUAUCUAGAGUGUAAAGGCAUAAGGAAGCUUGACUGUGAGACCUACAAGUCGAGCAGGGACGAAAGUCGGUCUUAGUGAUCUGACGGUGCUGAGUGGAAAGGCCGUCACUCAACGGAUAAAAGUUACUCUAAGGAUAACAGGCUGAUCUCCCCCAAGAGUUCACAUCGACGGGGAGGUUUGGCACCUCGAUGUCGGCUCAUCGCAUCCUGGGGCGGUAGUACGUCCCAAGGGUUGGGCUGUUCGCCCAUGAAAGCGGUACGCGAGCUGGGUUCAGAACGUCGUGAGACAGUUCGGUCCAUAUCCGGUGUAGGCGUUAGAAUAUUGAGAGGAGCCUUCUUUAGUACGAGAGGACCGAGAAGGACAUACCUCUGGUGUACCAGUUAUCGUGCCAACGGUAAACGCUGGGUAGCUAUGUAUGGAGUGGAUAACCGCUGAAAGCAUCUAAGUGGGAAGCCCACCUCAAGAUAAGUAUUCUC